rnacentral:rRNA from 1 species
UACGGGGGGGGCUAGCGUUGUUCGGAAUUACUGGGCGUAAAGCGCACGUAGGCGGCUUGGUAAGUUAGAGGUGAAAGCCUGGAGCUCAACUCCAGAAUUGCCUUUAAGACUGCCGAGCUAGCAGGUGAGAGAGGUGAGUGGAAUUCCGAGUGUAGAGGUGAAAUUCGUAGAUAUUCGGAAGAACACCAGUGGCGAAGGCGGCUCACUGGCUCAUACUGGACGCUGAGGUGCGAAAGCGUGGGGAGCAAACAGG